rnacentral:rRNA from 1 species
CCCGUUGCGUAGGGGAAUUAACCUUGCGAAAGUAAGACUAAUACCCUAUGAAGUUCUUCGCAGGCAUCUAAAGAGAACGAAAGAUUUAUCGGCAACGGAUGGGGAUGCGUCUGAUUAGGUUGUUGGCGGGGGUGACGGCCCACCAAGGCAACGAUCAGUAGGGGUUCUGAGAGGAAGGUCCCCCACAUUGGAACUGAGACACGGUCCAAACUCCUACGGGAGGCAGCAGUGAGGAAUAUUGGUCAAUGGGCGAGAGCCUGAACCAGCCAAGUAGCGUGCAGGAAGACGGCCCUAUGGGUUGUAAACUGCUUUUAUAAGGGAAUAAAGUGAGCCUCGUGAGGCUUUUUGCAUGUACCUUAUGAAUAAGGACCGGCUAAUUCCGUG